UACGGAGGAUCCAAGCGUUAUCCGGAUUUAUUGGGUUUAAAGGGUGCGUAGGCGGCUUAUUAAGUCAGGGGUGAAAGACGGUGGCUCAACCAUCGCAGUGCCCUUGAUACUGAUGAGCUUGAAUACACUAGAGGUAGGCGGAAUGUGACAAGUAGCGGUGAAAUGCAUAGAUAUGUCACAGAACACCGAUUGCGAAGGCAGCUUACUAUGGUGUGAUUGACGCUGAGGCACGAAAGCGUGGGGAUCAAACAGG
rnacentral:rRNA from 2 species